GACACUGAGCGUCUCUUGGGGCUCGGGAGCAAACGCUUCGGACGCGUUGGAUGCGGGUUCGAUUCCCGCCGGCGCCG
rnacentral:tRNA from 4 species